UGGUUUUUAAAUCAAUCCCCAAAGAGGUUUUAAAGCCCAUGCACUUUUGGAUGGUUCUUCUGGACGUCCCUAUAAUUAUUCUUCAUAGAAUAUCUACUAAGAGGGAGAGCUAAGACCAGCAUUUAUGUAAACUAGGAAGCCAGUGCAUUUUUGUUCAGUUAGCUUUAAUGAAUGUUGAUUGGAAAGCAUGGAAGGAAAUUAACCUUCACUGGGUGCCUACUACAUGAAAGCAUCAUGCUAGGUAUCAGGGGAGACCACGAAGGGUAACACCUAGUUCAGUCUGGUCCCUUUGCUCUGAUGAAGAAAAAACAUACACGAUUUUCUCUAAAGCAUCAGACUCUGAGAAGUAUUAUGGUAUGGAUUCCUGCAACAGGCCCAUGGAAAAAAGGACAAGUUCAUUGUGAACUGAAACAUUUAGAAAAGCUUCUUAAACCUGUUCACAGAUUCCAACAAAGACCUCUGAAGAAGGCUUGGCGUGUGGGGUUCUAUACAAUGGAAGCACCCAGGCUGCUGGAAUCAUCAGACAGAAAAAGGCUGCCCUCCCUGUACCUAAUGAGGCCAUGAAGGGAACAAGAAUUAUUCGGUGAGAUUCCUAAUAGUAGAAUUUGACUCUGAAGUCAAAGAGUUUGAAAAUCUGUAAAAGACACCAAUGAGUACAGGAAAACAACUUCCUUGAAAGGUUGCAGAAGUUUGUUUUCUGGCUAACAGAACAGGAGACGACCUGUCUUGCCACACCACACUCUCAUCUGCAUUGAAUGUCUCCUUGUACUCCAGGUCAAUCAUUGGCUCUUUGACCACCCAUGAGUGCUCUAACCUUGAGAAGGGAAUAUGGGUGCAUGUGCGUAGCUACUGUGGUUGUGGUUGAGCCGUGGAUGGAAAGAAGAAUGAGACCCAACAGCCAGAUCGGACUGGAAUUAGAGACAAAGGCCAUUGGAGGUCCAGGCACAGCACGUCGCAUGGAACAUUACUUGAUCAACAGUUGCUACGUCGUGGAUUAUCACUUACGUUGAAAAAAAAAAAAAUCACACUACUUGACGAUAUCUUUGAAUUCAAGCUUCUUAUCUUUCCUCUUUCGAAGGACAAGAUGAUUGCUUGCAGCUUCCUCAAGCCCUCUAAUCAAGCACAGGAAACGACCAGAAUGCAAUGAACUGCCACGGAAGAUUCCUUUUCUUACCCACGUUACCGAAGAGCACUUACGGAGCGUUUCAUGAAGGAAGGAAUGCAGAAUAUGCCGAAGGAAGGGUGGUCAGAGAGUUAAAGCCCAAGCCCGCAAGACUGAAUGACCUCCAUGGGCAACCCUUGCGCCCAGUCGCAAACCAAUGGGACCAGGAAGGCUUUUCUCUCACACUCGCUGGGAGGCACCCCCACCCACCACCUCCUGCCGUCCCAUCUCCUCCUUCCCUGAUUUGUGUCUGUUUUUGUUAAACAGUGGAUCUUGCUAUGCUUUUCAGAAAGCUGACAAGAAGCAAGCUGAAAAUUAAAAAUGGGCGCUGAGAGG